GAGAUUAUCGGCAGAUUUCGAAUCUCUGCCAUCAAAAUUUGUCUUCCAAAGAUCGUGAUACCCAGAUCUGCAUGUGAAGUGACGACCUGCAAUGAAGAGGUGGCUAGGAUUUCUAACUUAUGCGAAAAACAAAAAGUUGAUCUGUGCCGGUAGAAAGAGAGAUAAUAAAAUAAUUUUGUUAUAAUUUUAAAUUUUUAUUAAAGAUAAAUUAGAAAAAUAAAAUUUGAGUUUGAAUCUUCCUCUCCUUCACACCCCAAAUCGGGGGUAGAAAAAAUUGAGUGAUGGAGGGGUAGGAAGGGGUUGGGAG
rnacentral:lncRNA from 1 species